rnacentral:lncRNA from 1 species
UGGCAGUUGAUAGACUGAACAAGGAUAUUUACAGACUGGGAGGAUGGAAUAACCACAGAAGUAUCAGGCCUAGUGGGUGUCUACUACCAAUAUUUACAGUAGAGGCUCAUAGGACCUGGGUACCUCCAUUUGAUGCCACACGGUCCCCGGAAGUCUGGUGCACCUGAGAAGCACAGAGCGCGGUAACGGGUCUGCUGGACAAGCGGUUGGGGUGUGAGGACCACGAGACCCACGUCCCUGUCUGCGUGCUCAUGGUAUCCUCUGGUAUUGUCCAUUCAAAGCACAAGUCCCAGCAUCCCUGAGAGUUUCAGGUGGAGAAGGACAAGGCCACACAAGCUGUAAGCCCCUUACAAACCUAAGGCUGAAGGGGCUUCAUGAGGAAAAGUGUUUGGGGAGAACAUGUC